rnacentral:rRNA from 1 species
UACGUAGGCAGCAAGCGUUGUUCGGAGUUACUGGGCGUAAAGGGUGCGUAGGCGGUCCCUUAAGUUCGGUGUGAAAUCUCCCGGCUCAACUGGGAGGGUGCGCCGGAAACUGAGGGACUCGAGUGCGGGAGGGGAGAGCGGAAUUCUUGGUGUAGCGGUGAAAUGCGUAGAUAUCAGGAGGAACACCGGUGGUGCAGACGGCUCUCUGGACCGUAACUGACGCUGAGGCACGAAAGCGUGGGUAGCAAACAGG